GACGAACGCUGGUUUUCGGCGUGGAUUAGGCAUGCAAGUCGAACGGUAUCAUCCUUUCGGGGAUGAGAGAGUGGCGAACGGGUGAGUAACACGUAGGUGAUCUACCCUCAAGACGGGGACAACCCAGGGAAACUUGGGCUAAUACCGGAUGUGAGCUAUCGCGAGAUAGUUUGAAAGGUGGCUUCGGCUGCCGCUUGGGGAUGAGCCUGCGUCCUAUUAGCUAGUUGGUGAGGUAACGGCUCACCGAGGCAGUGAUAGGUAGGCGGCCUUAACGGGUGGUCGCCCACACUGGGAUUGAGAUACGGCCCAGACUCCUACGGGAGGCAGCAGUCGAGAAUAGUCUACAAUGGUCGAAAGACUGAUAGUGCGACGCCGCGUGAACGAAGAAGCCCUUCGGGUGUAAAGUUCUUUUAUAUGUGAGCAGUGACAUCUAUAUAAUAGUAUGGGUGUAGAGAUAUUAAGCAUAUGAAUAAGCAACGGCUAACUCCGUGCC
rnacentral:rRNA from 1 species